rnacentral:rRNA from 1 species
CAACAGGGAUUGCCUCAGUAACGGCGAGUGAAGCGGCAACAGCUCAAAUUUGAAAUCUGGCCCCCCGGCCCGAGUUGUAAUUUGCAGAGGAUGCUUCGGGUGCGGUGCUUUCCAAGUCCCCUGGAACGGGGCGCCACAGAGGGUGAGAGCCCCGUCAGGAUAGCCGCCAAGCCUAUGUGAAGCUCCUUCGACGAGUCGAGUAGUUUGGGAAUGCUGCUCUAAAUGGGAGGUAGACCCCUUCUAAAGCUAAAUACCGGCCAGAGACCGAUAGCGCACAAGUAGAGUGAUCGAAAGAUGAAAAGCACUUUGAAAAGAGGGUUAAACAGUACGUGAAAUUGUUGAAAGGGAAGCGCUUGUGACCAGACGUGCGCCGGGCGCUCAGCGGGCGUUCUCGCCCGUGCAUUCGCCCCGGCGCAGGCCAGCGUCGGUUCGGGAGGGGGGACAAAGGCAUCAGGAACGUGGCUCCCUCGGGAGUGUUAUAGCCUGGCGCGCCAUGCCCCCGCCUGGACCGAGGUUCGCGCUCCGCAAGGACGCUGGCGUAAUGGUCCCCAGCGGCCCGUCUUGAAACACGGACCAAGGAGUCGAGGUUUUGCGCGAGUGUUUGGGUGUCAAACCCGCACGCGUAAUGAAAGUGAACGCAGGUGGGAGCUUCGGCGCACCACCGACCGAUCCUGAUGUUCUCGGAUGGAUUUGAGUAGGAGCGUAGGGCCUCGGACCCGAAAGAUGGUGAACUAUACUUGGAUAGGGUGAAGCCAGAGGAAACUCUGGUGGAGGCUCGCAGCGGUUCUGACGUGCAAAUCGAUCGUCAAAUCUGAGUAUGGGGGCGAAAGACUAAUCGAACCAUCUAGUAGCUGGUUACCGCCGAAGUUUCCCUCAGGAUAGCAGUGUUGAUCUCAGUUUUAUGAGGUAAAGCGAAUGAUUAGGGACUCGGGGGCGCUUUUCAGCCUUCAUCCAUUCUCAAACUUUAAAUAUGUAAGAAGCCCUUGUUGCUUAGUUGAACGUGGGCCUUCGAAUGCAGCAACACUAGUGGGCCAUUUUUGGUAAGCAGAACUGGCGAUGUGGGAUGAACCAUACGGGGGGUUAAGGUGCCGGAGUGGACGCUCAUCAGACACCACAAAAGGCGUUAGCACAUCUUGACAGCAGGACGGUGGCCAUGGAAGUCGGAAUCCGCUAAGGACUGUGUAACAACUCACCUGCCGAAUGUGCUAGCCCUGAAAAUGGAUGGCGCUCAAGCGUCCCACCCAUACCCCCCCCUCAGGGUAGAAACGAUGCCCUGAGGAGUAGGCGGCCGCAGCGC